AUGAGUAGCGAGAUGUGGGUGAGAAUCCCACAGGCCGUAAACCCAAGGUUUCCAGGGGAAGGUUCGUCCGCCCUGGGUUAGUCGGGACCUAAGCUGAGGCCGAAAGGCGUAGGUGAUGGACAACAGGUUGAUAUUCCUGUACUACCGAUAACCGUUUGAGAGAAGGGAUGACACAGUAGGAUAAGCUAAGCACACUGUUGGUUAUGUGUGCCCAAGCAUUGAGGCAGUCAAAGUAGGCAAAUCCGCUUUGAUAAUGCUGGGAUGUGAUGGGGAGCGAAAUUUAGUAGCGAAGUAGCUGAUUUCACACUGUCAAGAAAAGUCUCUAUCGAGGUUAAAGGUACCCGUACCGCAAACCGACACAGGUG
rnacentral:rRNA from 1 species